rnacentral:rRNA from 1 species
AUUGAACGCUGGCGGCAGGCUUAACACAUGCAAGUCGAACGAGUGGCGGACGGGUGAGUAAUGCUUGGGAAUCUAGCUUAUGGAGGGGGAUAACUACGGGAAACUGUAGCUAAUACCGAAUACAAUCAGAUGUGCCCAGAUGGGAUGAGCUAGUUGGUGGGGUAAUGGCUCACCUCGGCGACGAUCCUUAGCUGGUCUGAGAGGAUGACCAGCCACACUGGAUCUGAGACACGGUCCAGACUCCUACGGGAGGCAGCAGUGGGGAAUAGUGCACAAUUGGCGAAAGCCUGAUGCAGCCAGGCCGCGUGUGUGAAGAAGGUCUUCGGGUUGUAAAGCACUUUAAGCGAGGAGGCGUUACUCGCAGAAGAAGCACCGGCUAACUCCGUGCCAGCAGCCGCGGUAAUUC